rnacentral:lncRNA from 1 species
GGAAGGUUUGGAAGAUGCGAAUUACGGCUGAGGAUUAGGGCCAGUUCGGGUCGCUAGUGUAGGGAAUUAAUUGGCGGGGGUGUAUUCCUGUUAUGAUCCUGUAUUCAGUGUUUCGUGUUCCGUGUUCCAUGUUUAUUACGAAUCUGUGUGCUUUCCUCUGCUUUAUAUUCCUGCAUUCCUGCUUACUCUGUUUUAUAUUCCCUAUGGGUGCCGUAUUUAUGUUAUGUCGUCUGCUGCUGUGCUGUACUAUGUGUUUGUGUGAUAUCUCGGGACUUGAGCCGGGGGUCUUUCGGAAACAGCCUUUCUACUUCAUCAGAGGUAGAGGUAUGGACUGCGUACAUCUUACCCCCCCAGACCCCACUAAGUGGGAAUACACUGGG